CCUACGGGGGGCAGCAGUGAGGAAUAUUGGUCAAUGGACUUACGCCUGAACCAGCCAAGUCGCGUGAGGGAAGACUGCCCUAUGGGUUGUAAACCUCUUUUGUCAGGGAGCAACGCCGGCUACGUGUAGCCGGACUGAGAGUACCUGAAGAAAAAGCAUCGGCUAACUCCGUGCCAGCAGCCGCGGUAAUACGGAGGAUGCGAGCGUUAUCCGGAUUGAUUGGGUUUAAAGGGUGCGUAGGCGGAAUGCCAAGUCAGCGGUAAAAUCGCGGGGCUCAACCUCGCUCCGCCGUUGAAACUGGCGUUCUUGAGUGGGCGAGAAGUAUGCGGAAUGCGUGGUGUAGCGGUGAAAUGCAUAGAGAUCACGCAGAACUCCGAUUGCGAAGGCAGCAUACCGGCGCCCAACUGACGCUGAAGCACGAAAGCGUGGGUAUCGAACAGGAUUAGAUACCCCAGUAGUC
rnacentral:rRNA from 1 species